rnacentral:rRNA from 1 species
GCUUGGAAGCAGCCAUUCAUUUAAAGAGUGCGUAACAGCUCACUAGUCGAGGAGUUUGGCGUGGAUAAUAAUCGGGCAUAAGUAUUCUACCGAAGCUUUGGGAUGAGAAAUCAUCGGUAGGGGAGCAUUCCACUCGGCGUCGAAGGUGAAGCGCGAGCUUUGCUGGAGCGUGUGGAAAAGCAAAUGUAGGUAUAAGUAACGAUAAAGGGGGUGGGAAACCCCCUCGCCGAAAGACUAAGGUUUCCUGAUCAACGCUAAUCGGAUCAGGGUAAGUCGGGUCCUAAGGCUCAGCCGAACGGCGAGGCCGAUGGCAGAACCGGUUAAUAUUCCGGUACUACCUGUGGGAGUGACGUGGAGACGGAGUCGUGACAGCGCCGCGGACUGACGGAAUAGUCCGUUGAAGGGUGUAGAUGCUGAUUGUUCCAGGCAAAUCCGGAGCAAGAGUCGAACCUGAUAGUAUGGAGCGUUCUUAGAACAAUCCAAUAGUGCGUGUAAUCAUACUUCCAAGAAAAUCCGCUAAACUUAAUCCUGCAGGUACCCGUACCGCAAACGGACACACGUAGUCGGGUUGAAUAUACUAAGGCGCUUGAGUGAUUCACGGUUAAGGAACUAGGCAAACUGACCCUGUAACUUCGGGAUAAAGGGUCCUCGCUUUACGGCGAGGCGCAGAGAAUAGGUCCAGGCAACUGUUUAACAAAAACACAGGGCUGUGCAAAAUUGAAAGAUGAAGUAUACAGCCUGACACCUGCCCGGUGCUGGAAGGUUAAGAGGAGAUGUCAUCGCAAGAGAAGCAUUGAAUUGAAGCCCCAGUAAACGGCGGCCGUAACUAUAACGGUCCUAAGGUAGCGAAAUUCCUUGUCGGGUAAGUUCCGACCUGCACGAAUGGUGUAAUGAUCUGGACGCUGUCUCAACCGUGAGCUCAGUGAAAUUGUAGUAUCGGUGAAGAUGCCGAUUACCCGCGAUGGGACGAAAAGACCCCGUGAACCUUUACUAUAGCUUAACAUUGAAUUUGGGUAAUUGAUGUGUAGGAUAGGCCGGAGGCUUCGAAGCAGGUACGCCAGUAUUUGUGGAGCCGCUGUUGAAAUACGGCCCUUUGAUUAUUUGAGUUCUAACCCGUUGUUGCGGGGACACUGUUUGGUGGGUAGUUUGACUGGGGUGGUCGCCUCCAAAAGUGUAACGGAGGCUUCUAAAGGUGCCCUCACGACGAUUGGUAACCGUCGGCAGAGUGUAAUGGCAUAAGGGCGCUUGACUGGGAGACUUACAAGUCGAUCAGGUAGGAAACUAGAGCAUAGUGAUCCGGUGUUUCUGUAUGGAAAGGACAUCGCUCAAAGGAUAAAAGGUACUCCGGGGAUAACAGGCUGAUCCCUCCCA